rnacentral:rRNA from 1 species
GACGAACGCUGGCGGCGUGCCUAAUACAUGCAAGUCGAACGAGAGCGACCGGUGCUUGCACUGGUCAAUCUAGUGGCGAACGGGUGAGUAACACGUGGGUAACCUGCCCAUCAGAGGGGGAUAACAUCCGGAAACGGAUGCUAAAACCGCAUAGGUCUUCGAGCCGCAUGGCUUGAAGAGGAAAAGAGGCGCAAGCUUCUGCUGAUGGAUGGACCCGCGGUGCAUUAGCUAGUUGGUGAGGUAACGGCUCACCAAGGCCGUGAUGCAUAGCCGACCUGAGAGGGUGAUCGGCCACAUUGGGACUGAGACACGGCCCAAACUCCUACGGGAGGCAGCAGUAGGGAAUCUUCCGCAAUGGACGCAAGUCUGACGGAGCAACGCCGCGUGAGUGAAGAAGGUUUUCGGAUCGUAAAACUCUGUAGUUAGAGAAGAACAAGUGCUAGAGUAACUGUUAGCGCCUUGACGGUAUCUAACCAGAAAGCCACGGCUAACUACGUG